rnacentral:rRNA from 1 species
GCCAGCAGCUCCAUCACCCUGCAGCUCCCAGCUGGCAGCCCCACUGGAGCUCAGCAGGUGUGAGCCUGGUCAGUACCUGGAUGGGAGAGUCCUGGGAAAACUAAGGUUGCUGCUGGAA